rnacentral:lncRNA from 1 species
ACAUAGCUCCACCAGGUGUGCUGUUAAGGAAGACGUCUCUGCCUCUGCCUCUGCUGCCUGACUGCUGCAAACUGCUGCAGGGAUUGCAGAGGACUUCGGUCACAUCUGGGCAAGUACCCGAGUCUGGAGAGAUCCCAGAAGAUAUUUUUUGACCUGACAUCAUCGCAAGGUAUACAGAUCUCAAUUUUCAAAUUAUUUACCAUUUUUUGCUUAUUGAACACAGUUGCUCAUACGGUUUACCAUGUCAAG